AUUGAACGCUGGCGGCAUGCCUUACACAUGCAAGUCGAACGGCAGCACGGGGCAACCUGGUGGCGAGUGGCGAACGGGUGAGUAAUGCAUCGGAACGUACCUUUCAGUGGGGGAUAACGUAGCGAAAGUUACGCUAAUACCGCAUAUUCUAUGAGCAGGAAAGCAGGGGAUCGCAAGACCUUGCGCUGAUUGAGCGGCCGAUGUCAGAUUAGCUAGUUGGUGAGGUAAAGGCUCACCAAGGCGACGAUCUGUAGCGGGUCUGAGAGGAUGAUCCGCCACACUGGAUCUGAGACACGGUCCAGACUCCUACGGGAGGCAGCAGUGGGGAAUUUUGGACAAUGGGGCAACCCUGAUCCAGCCAUGCCGCGUGAGUGAAGAAGGCCUUCGGGUUGUAAAGCUCUUUCGGCCGGGAAGAAAUCGCACGGGCUAAUACCCUGUGUGGAUGACGGUACCGGAAUAAGAAGCACCGGCUAACUACGUGCCAGCCGCCGCAGUAAGAC
rnacentral:rRNA from 1 species